AAUACCGGANGGUUGUUUGAACCGCAUGGUUCAAACAUAAAAGGUGGCUUCGGCUACCACUUACAGAUGGACCCGCGGCGCAUUAGCUAGUUGGUGAGGUAAUGGCUCACCAAGGCAACGAUGCGUAGCCGACCUGAGAGGGUGAUCGGCCACACUGGGACUGAGACACGGCCCAGACUCCUACGGGAGGCAGCAGUAGGGAAUCUUCCGCAAUGGACGAAAGUCUGACGGAGCAACGCCGCGUGAGUGAUGAAGGUUUUCGGAUCGUAAAGCUCUGUUGUUAGGGAAGAACAAGUACCGUUCGAAUAGGGCGGUACCUUGACGGUACCUAACCAGAAAGCCACGGCUAACUACGUGCCAGCAGCCGCGGUAAUACGUAGGUGGCAAGCGUUGUCCGGAAUUAUUGGGCGUAAAGGGCUCGCAGGCGGUUUCUUAAGUCUGAUGUGAAAGCCCCCGGCUCAACCGGGGAGGGUCAUUGGAAACUGGGGAACUUGAGUGCAGAAGAGGAGAGUGGAAUUCCACGUGUAGCGGUGAAAUGCGUAGAGAUGUGGAGGAACACCAGUGGCGAAGGCGACUCUCUGGUCUGUAACUGACGCUGAGGAGCGAAAGCGUGGGGAGCGAACAGGAUUAGAUACCCUGGUAGUCCACGCCGUAAACGAUGAGUGCUAAGUGUUA
rnacentral:rRNA from 1 species